GGGUGCAUGGUCUAGUGGUAUGAUUUUCGCUUCGCAUCCUUUCAAAAGGCGCGAUUAUAUUGUGAACGGUCCCCGGUUCAAUCCCGGGUGCAUCCA